CCUACGGGCGGCAGCAGUGAGGAAUAUUGGUCAAUGGGCGAGAGCCUGAACCAGCCAAGUCGCGUGAAGGAUGAAGGAUCUAUGGUUUGUAAACUUCUUGUAUAGGGGAAUAAAGUGAGGAACGUGUGCCUUUUUGUAUGUACCAUAUGAAUAAGCAUAGGCUAACGCCGUGCCAGCAGCCGCGGUAAUACGGAGGAUGCGAGCGUUAUCCGGAUUUAGUGGGUUUAAAGGGUGCGUAGGUGGUUACUUAAGUCAGCGGUGAAAGUUUGUGGCUCAACCAUAAAAUUGCCGUUGAAACUGGUUGCCUUGAGUUUCUUUGAGGUAGGCGGAAUUCGUGGUGUAGCGGUGCAAUGCAUAGAUAUCACGCAGAACUCCGAUUGCGAAGGCAGCUUCCUAAACUAUCCCUGACACUGACGCACGACAGCGUGGGGAUCAAACAGGAUUAGAUACCCUUGUAGUC
rnacentral:rRNA from 1 species